rnacentral:pre_miRNA from 1 species
UGUAAACAUCCUACACUCAGCUGUCAUACAUGCGUUGGCUGGGAUGUGGAUGUUUACGUC